CUUCCCUCCAUUUUGUGAUUCUAAAAUCGCGAAAGUUCCAAAACUGCAAGGAGCUCAUUAUCAUGUCGUCGUCGUCUCCCUGUCAUCUUUCUUCGUCGCCUUCUUACCGAUCGCCAUUGACACCCUCUGAUUGUCGCCCAGGCAACUCUUCGUCGCCUUCUCAUCGUGGUCGGACAUAGUUCCUAAAAUGCUUUGGUCUAGUUACUGCACAUUAUACCAAAAUUCAGUGAAGGAUUUGACUGAGCUUGGGGAAUGCUAGUAUGACCAAGGUUCCACUUGACUACAGUGGGAAAAGAGGAGCCACUCUUACUGUAACCAAGGAAAAGAGAAUUAAGCGAGUUUAAUUAGUUGGACUUUUUAAAGCCUGACGAUGGUUUGUGUUGCAUCCUUUAUUGAGUUAGAGUUACACUUGUAUCAUAAUCUGUAGGAAUGCAAAGGAGAUCCUUUAAAAGGAGAUUAUUCUUUUUCAUAUACUGUGUUUUCAUUUUGAUAAUAUGGGGAAUAUUUAUGAUACUAUCAUU